rnacentral:rRNA from 1 species
CCUACGGGAGGCAGCAGUGAGGAAUAUUGGUCAAUGGGCGAGAGCCUGAACCAGCCAAGUAGCGUGCAGGAAGACGGCCCUAUGGGUUGUAAACUGCUUUUAUAAGGGAAUAAAGUGGGUCACGUGUGACUUUUUGCAUGUACCUUAUGAAUAAGGACCGGCUAAUUCCGUGCCAGCAGC